AUUCAAAAUUCACCCCUACCCCCGAUGCAAGUUCGGAUCUGCAGAUGUAUGAAAUUAUUUCUUUGUUUUGUUAUUGAUGUUUCGCGGAAUUUUACAAUACAUGUAUAUCAUUACUGAACAUAGAGAGUCCCGAGAGAUUUCGGAUGGCGAAAGUACAGAGUUAUCUUUUCUUGGGCGAAGAGAUUGAAUGUCUGCAGCAGACAGCGGUUUUAAUGAGAUAAAAACGCUUUUUAUCGAGUUUAUUAGGAAUAUUUCAAUGUGAACGUGUUUUGUGACCACACUUGCAACAUUGUGUGGGAGGAUUUGCGUAACUUUUGUCAAAUUGUCAUGUGUGGGACCCCUAGACCAAGAACAUUUGAAAGUCGCAUCGAUUCAAAUAGACAGGCCUCGGUAUAAUCCAGUUUGCUUCUAUCCUUCAUCGAGGGCUGAUGGGGACCUGUAAAUGAUUCCAAAGCUGUCACGUGCCUGAUGCAAAAUGUGGUCUUCCAGCGAAAUCAGCUUAUCUCUUUACCAUUGAUUCCAGCACAGAGUUGAUGUCAUUAAGAACAACCCAGUGUCCAACUAGUGAGAUACACCAUGGUCCAGGUGGCAGACGAUAUCGCAUCCGUUUGAUGACGUAGUACACAAAAAGACCAAUGCUCAUUCCCGCCAAAAUGGUCUGGGUGUUCAUGGACAAC